ACGAUGAACCGGNUUCGGCCGGGGAUUAGUGGCGAACGGGUGAGUAACACGUGGGCAAUCUGCCCUGCACUCUGGGACAAGCCCUGGAAACGGGGUCUAAUACCGGAUACGACGCGUUCCCGCAUGGGAUACGCGUGGAAAGCUCCGGCGGUGCAGGAUGAGCCCGCGGCCUAUCAGCUUGUUGGUGGGGUGAUGGCCUACCAAGGCGACGACGGGUAGCCGGCCUGAGAGGGCGACCGGCCACACUGGGACUGAGACACGGCCCAGACUCCUACGGGAGGCAGCAGUGGGGAAUAUUGCACAAUGGGCGCAAGCCUGAUGCAGCGACGCCGCGUGAGGGAUGACGGCCUUCGGGUUGUAAACCUCUUUCAGCAGGGAAGAAGCGAAAGUGACGGUACCUGCAGAAGAAGCGCCGGCUAACUACGUGCCAGCAGCCGCGGUAAUACGUAGGGCGCAAGCGUUGUCCGGAAUUAUUGGGCGUAAAGAGCUCGUAGGCGGCUUGUCGCGUCGGAUGUGAAAGCCCGGGGCUUAACCCCGGGUCUGCAUUCGAUACGGGCAGGCUAGAGUUCGGUAGGGGAGAUCGGAAUUCCUGGUGUAGCGGUGAAAUGCGCAGAUAUCAGGAGGAACACCGGUGGCGAAGGCGGAUCUCUGGGCCGAUACUGACGCUGAGGAGCGAAAGCGUGGGGAGCGAACAGGAUUAGAUACCCUGGUAGUCCACCGGAGUCGCUAGUAAUCGCAGAUCAGCAACGCUGCGGUGAAUACGUUCCCGGGCCUUGUACACACCGCCCGUCACGUCACGAAAGUCGGCAACACCCGAAGCCCGUGGCCCAACCACUUGUGGGGGGAGCGGUCGAAGGUGGGGCUGGCGAUUGGGACGAAGUC
rnacentral:rRNA from 1 species